AGCAGUAGCCACGGGAAAACCAGCACCUCGAGUGGUCAGGAGGUUUAUUGGGCCUAAAGCAUCCGUAGCCGGUUGCAUAAGUUUUCGGUUAAAUCUAUGCGCUUAACGUAUAGGCCGCCGAAAAUACUGUGCAGCUAGGGAGUGGGAGAGGUACACGGUACUCGAUAGGAAGGGGUAAAAUCCUUUGAUCUAUUGAUGACCACCUGUGGCGAAGGCGGUGUACCAGAACACGUUCGACGGUGAGGGAUGAAAGCUGGGGGAGCAAACCGGAUUAGAUACCCGCGUAGUCCCUGUCUCUUAUAC
rnacentral:rRNA from 1 species